rnacentral:lncRNA from 1 species
AUUUCUAGUAAAAGCAGGAGUCCAACAUUCUGCCUAAUUGGCUUUUCUGUUUAAUUUACAGUACAUUAAGGAAAGGCUGGUCUGAAGCUCAGUAGUACCAUUGGUUUCCUCAUGGUUGCUUCAUUUUGAGCACGUCUCAGUACAAGGCAGGCAACUUUGUCUAAGGCUGUUUGGAAAUGGAAAUUAAUAUCAAUACAUUCUCCUUUCACCGGUGUUUUGGUGAACUUUUCAGGAAGCAUGAAGGAAAGGAAUGACAUGAUUUUUCUUUACAAAAGUGCAUCUACACACUGAUUUAGCAAACUGCAUAUGAAAGGAGGGAUGUAAACAGACUUUGACUGUGCCUAUAUGGAGAUCUUGGACCCUGUUAUGCCUUGUAUUGAUCUGGAGGUCAACCAGAACAUGCUUAUUCUGGAGCAGAACAAUAAGAUGGAGAUAACAGAACAGGUACCUGAUCCCUUGGCUGAGUAUAAACUGAUGUUCUUGAUGAUCUGGGAAAAAAGAAAAGGCCCGCUGAAGUUCUUGGCUUCUAUGAUGUCUUGUGGCAUUCAACUCUUUAAACUAAAUCUGUAUAAUGAAAGCAAAUUUUCCUUUUCAAGAGGCUGGAAAUGCAUUACUUCACUAAAAAGUACCUUUUUUGUGUGUGAUAUGGAGCAUACAAACUGAUCCGUUGGAACGCAAAAUUAUAACGUACAGAUUUAUGCAAGAGGGAUGACUGCAAAGUGCGUUGCAUGAGUAGUGUAAGAAGCUGAAAAUUGCUGCUGUUGUAGCUGUCAUAGACAUGUUAUUUUCUUUGGUAUGUGUGGAGUUUUUGCUGUCAGGCUUUUAUCCUGCAGAUUGUUUGUGCUGCACCUCUCUUCCUGCUUAAAAUAGAAAAUCAGUCACUGAACCUGGAUACUAUUAAGUGUUCUUAGAAUAGUUCUUAACUAACUUGGUUGAUUUGUGCUUUCUGAUGAAAGAACAUUUGGUUGUUUAUUGCAGGCUCUGAACAAACAUGUUCUUCCAAAAUCAACAAAUAAAAUUACAUAUUGCAUUGCA